CGCGUGUGUGGCGUCACCAAUCCUGGCCUGUGUGUGACUCCCCAGGGUCCUCCACCAGCAGCCUGGCCCCAGGCCCUGAGCCAGGCCCCCAGCCCGCCCUGCACGUCCAGGCGCAGGUGAACAACAGCAACAACAAGAAGGGUACCUUCACGGACGACCUGCACAAGCUGGUGGACGAGUGGACGAGCAAGACGGUGGGGGCCGCGCAGCUGAAGCCCACGCUCAACCAGCUGAAGCAGACCCAGAAGCUGCAAGACAUGGAGGCCCAGGCAGGCUGGGCUGCCCCUGGCGAGGCGCGGGCUCCCCAAGAACUAGGCUUCUCCACUUUACAGAUUGGGAGGUGAGCGACGCGCCCACAGCUCCGCAGCUGGCAGGUGGAAAGGACAGGCCAGGCCAGGCCGGGGCUGUGACUCCACAGCUCAGAUACAGCAGCUGCCCCAGCCUGGGCAGCCCAAGCCCCGCACUCAGAGCAGGUAGCCCUGGUCUUGGCAGACAGGCCCACCUCUGCCUGGGUUCUGUUUGUGCCCAGGCUGGAGACCAGGGCAGGUGUGCAUGUCACCCAAGUGACACCAGCGUCGGGCCAUAGUUCACACGCACCUGAGCCAAUGUGGGGUGGAAGUGAGGACCUGCUGUCCUAGGUUUUCACACCUAACUUGUUUGAUGUCAGCGCGAGUUGGAGAAGCAUCUGCUGUUUUUCAGCUUUC
rnacentral:lncRNA from 1 species